CAUGAUCUGGAAGGCUUCGGUCACUUUCUCGGUGGUCGCACCGCCGCCGACGUCGAGAAAGUUGGCCGGUUCGGCACCGAAAAGCUUGA
rnacentral:tRNA from 1 species